GAUGAACGCUAGCGGGAGGCCUAACACAUGCAAGCCGAGCGGUAUUUGUUCUUCGGAACAGAGAGAGCGGCGCACGGGUGCGGAACACGUGUGCAACCUGCCUUUAUCUGGGGGAUAGCCUUUCGAAAGGAAGAUUAAUACCCCAUAAUAUAUUGAGUGGCAUCAUUUGAUAUUGAAAACUCCGGUGGAUAUAGAUGGGCACGCGCAAGAUUAGAUAGUUGGUGAGGUAACGGCUCACCAAGUCAAUGAUCUUUAGGGGGCCUGAGAGGGUGAUCCCCCACACUGGUACUGAGACACGGACCAGACUCCUACGGGAGGCAGCAGUGAGGAAUAUUGGACAAUGGGUUAGCGCCUGAUCCAGCCAUCCCGCGUGAAGGACGACGGCCCUAUGGGUUGUAAACUUCUUUUGUAUAGGGAUAAACCUACUCUCGUGAGAGUAGCUGAAGGUACUAUACGAAUAAGCACCGGCUAACUCCGUG
rnacentral:rRNA from 1 species